GAUGAACGCUGGCGGCGUGCCUAAUACAUGCAAGUCGAGCGAACAGACGAGGAGCUUGCUCCUCUGACGUUAGCGGCGGACGGGUGAGUAACACGUGGAUAACCUACCUAUAAGACUGGGAUAACUUCGGGAAACCGGAGCUAAUACCGGAUAAUAUAUUGAACCGCAUGGUUCAAUAGUGAAAGACGGUUUUGCUGUCACUUAUAGAUGGAUCCGCGCCGCAUUAGCUAGUUGGUAAGGUAACGGCUUACCAAGGCAACGAUGCGUAGCCGACCUGAGAGGGUGACCGGCCACACUGGAACUGAGACACGGUCCAGACUCCGACGGGAGGCAGCAGUAGGGAAUCUUCCGCAAUGGGCGAAAGCCUGACGGAGCAACGCCGCGUGAGUGAUGAAGGUCUUCGGAUCGUAAAACUCUGUUAUUAGGGAAGAACAAAUGUGUAAGUAACUAUGCACGUCUUGACGGUACCUAAUCAGAAAGCCACGGCUAACUACGUG
rnacentral:rRNA from 1 species